rnacentral:rRNA from 1 species
GAUGAACGCUGGCGGCGUGCCUAAUACAUGCAAGUCGAGCGAACAGAUAAGGAGCUUGCUCCUUUGACGUUAGCGGCGGGCGGGUGAGUAACACGUGGGUAACCUACCUAUAAGACUGGGAUAACUUCGGGAAACCGGAGCUAAUACCGGAUAAUAUUUCGAACCGCAUGGUUCGAUAGUGAAAGAUGGUUUUGCUAUCACUUAUAGAUGGACCCGCGCCGUAUUAGCUAGUUGGUAAGGUAACGGCUUACCAAGGCGACGAUACGUAGCCGACCUGAGAGGGUGAUCGGCCACACUGGAACUGAGACACGGUCCAGACUCCUACGGGAGGCAGCAGUAGGGAAUCUUCCGCAAUGGGCGAAAGCCUGACGGAGCAACGCCGCGUGAGUGAUGAAGGUCUUCGGAUCGUAAAACUCUGUUAUUAGGGAAGAACAUACGUGUAAGUAACUGUGCACGUCUUGACGGUACCUAAUCAGAAAGCCACGGCUAACUACGUG